rnacentral:rRNA from 1 species
GAAACUCAAAGGAAUUGACGGGGGCCCGCACAAGCGGUGGAGCAUGUGGUUUAAUUCGAAGCAACGCGAAGAACCUUACCAGGUCUUGACAUCCUCUGACAAUCCUAGAGAUAGGACGUCCCCUUCGGGGGCAGAGUGACAGGUGGUGCAUGGUUGUCGUCAGCUCGUGUCGUGAGAUGUUGGGUUAAGUCCCGCAACGAGCGCAACCCUUGAUCUUAGUUGCCAGCAUUCAGUUGGGCACUCUAAGGUGACUGCCGGUGACAAACCGGAGGAAGGUGGGGAUGACGUCAAAUCAUCAUGCCCCUUAUGACCUGGGCUACACACGUGCUACAAUGGACAGAACAAAGGGCAGCGAAACCGGGAGGUUAAGCCAAUCCCACAAAUCUGUUCUCAGUUCGGAUCGCAGUCUGCAACUCGACUGCGUGAAGCUGGAAUCGCUUUAAUCGUGGAAUCAGGCAGGAGUCCGGUCAUUC